AGCGAACGCUGGCGGCAUGCUUAACACAUGCAAGUCGCACGAAGGUUUCGGCCUUAGUGGCGGACGGGUGAGUAACGCGUAGGUAUCUAUCCAUGGGUGGGGGAUAACACCUGGAAACAGAUGCUAAUACCGCAUAACAACUUAGACCGCAUGGUCCGAGUUUGAAAGAUGGCUUCGGCUAUCACUUUUGGAUGGUCCCGCGGCGUAUUAGCUAGAUGGUGAGGUAACGGCUCACCAUGGCAAUGAUACGUAGCCGACCUGAGAGGGUAA
rnacentral:rRNA from 1 species